AUCGAUCGUUUGCAAGGUUUUCACUUCCGGUUCAUGAAAAGGGCAACAACCAUAAUCUGAACAUUUACCACAAAAGUCAAAUCAGUAUUCCAAAAGUAACAAACACACUAGUACCUUAACGAUAACUAAGAUUAUUACCAAGUAAUUAGAUACAGGUUUCAGGUGGAUUCAUUUGUACAGCUCCUGCAGUCAUGUCUGAAAAAGUGAUCAUCGUGGAGUGGGCAGAGACUGGUGCAUCAGAAGAGAGAUGUCAAGCCCAACUUAUUACACACAACGCCUCUGCAGUGUUGCCCGAAAGCCUGGUCCAGAAUAUAUUGGUGAACACUGUGGUACAAGGCCAAGAGGAGGAUCAUGAACUACUAGAUGACAACAGCAAUGACCUUUGUGAGUGACAACAGAUUCUGUGUACUCUGACUAUCUUGAAUUCAGAGGCUGUCAAUGGUUUUUCCAUGCAUCUUUCAAAUCAUAGGUGCUUAGAUCUACGUUUAGUAAGUGUAAGGCCUUGUUAUGUCCAGUUUAGUUUACCACAUGAUUGUGUCAUCUUACUGGAGUGGGAGAGUCC